AAAAAAACCCAGUGGCAAAAAUGAGGAAAAAAGCACAUCUGGGUAAAUUCUAAGUGAGGGCCAUGACUGUGUAGACAUGUCAUCCCCUCACGUUGACAGCAUUAGUGACUUAUAAAACCUGCACUAUGUAAGUAAAUAGCUUGGGUAUCGGGAUUGGGAAACACUUCUUGAUUAGUUUGAAAAGGCCCACUUACAUAUUAAAUCAUGAGAUCAUUUCUAAUCAGUUUGCAAUUCUAGCAAUAAUCCCAAUCAUGACCUUGCGUCCUAUGCCUCCUAAUCAAAUCCCUAUUUAGAUGGUCCAGUCAUAUCCACACUUAAUACAUGGGAAUCCAUCCUUGGUACACUCAACAUACAUCAAUGACACACAUAGUACAUCCAUGCCUGAGUAAGCUAACACUUCCUCUCUCUCCGGCUAACUCUACAAAAAUAAAAAUAACAAAAUAGUCCAAUAGUCCAGCAUAGUCCAGAAAAAUAUUAUAAGUCUUUCAAGGAGUAUAAAGAAUCUUAGACACCAUAAACUUUGUUCCAUAAUCUUAGACACCAUAACAUAGCUAAGGGUAGCAAUAUGGCUGACAACAAGACGAUGUCAGCUUCCACAUAGUUCUUAAAUCUUCUGUUUGCUGGAUGUUCACCACAAUACUCUGUUCAACACCCCAAUUGUUGAAAGGGUAAUACAGAAAUAGCGGCAUUAGACAGCGCUGCAUCUUCAGGACUUUCCAGGUUAGUUUAUGCCCUCAUCUCAGUUUCU